rnacentral:rRNA from 1 species
GUAGGUGGCAAGCGUUGUCCGGAAUUAUUGGGCGUAAAGCGCGCGCAGGUGGUUCUUUAAGUCUGAUGUGAAAGCCCCCGGGCUCAACCGGGGAGGGUCAUUGGAAACUGGGGAACUUGAGUGCAGGAGAGGAAAGUGGAAUUCCACGUGUAGCGGUGAAAUGCGUAGAUAUGUGGAGGAACACCAGUGGCGAAGGCGACUUUCUGGCCUGUAACUGACACUGAGGCGCGAAAGCGUGGGGAGCAAACAGGAUUAGAUACCCUGGUAGUCCACGCCGUAAACGAUGAGUGCUAAGUGUUGGGGGGUUUCCGCCCCUCAGUGCUGCAGCUAACGCAUUAAGCACUCCGCCUGUGGAGUACGGUCGCAAGACUG